CCUACGGGAGGCAGCAGUGGGGAAUUUUGGACAAUGGGCGCAAGCCUGAUCCAGCCAUGCCGCGUGCAGGAAGAAGGCCUUCGGGUUGUAAACUGCUUUUGUACGGGAGCGAAAAGCCCCUGGCGAAUAACCGGGGGUCAUGACGGUACCGUAAGAAUAAGCACCGGUUAACUACGUGCCAGCAGCCGCGGUAAUA
rnacentral:rRNA from 1 species